rnacentral:rRNA from 1 species
ACACGUAGGGGGCGAGCGUUGUCCGGAAUGAUUGGGCGUAAAGGGCGCGUAGGCGGCCCGGUAAGUCUGGAGUGAAAGUCCUGUUUUUAAGAUGGGAAUUGCUUUGGAUACUGUCGGGCUUGAGUGCAGGAGAGGUAAGUGGAAUUCCCAGUGUAGCGGUGAAAUGCGUAGAGAUUGGGAGGAACACCAGUGGCGAAGGCGACUUACUGGACUGUAACUGACGCUGAGGCGCGAAAGUGUGGGGAGCAAACAGGAUUAGAUACCCUGGUAGUCCACACUGUAAACGAUGAAUGCUAGGUGUAGGGGGUAUCGACCCCUUCUGUGCCGCAGUCAACACAAUAAGCAUUCCGCCUGGGGAGUACGGCCGCAAGGUUGAAACUCAAAGGAAUUGACGGGG